rnacentral:rRNA from 1 species
AGUUUGAUCAUGGCUCAGAUUGAACGCUGGCGGCAUGCUUUACACAUGCAAGUCGAACGGUAACAGGCCGCAAGGUGCUGACGAGUGGCGAACGGGUGAGUAAUGCAUCGGAACGUGCCCAGUCGUGGGGGAUAACGCAGCGAAAGCUGCGCUAAUACCGCAUACGAUCUAUGGAUGAAAGCGGGGGACCGUAAGGCCUCGCGCGAUUGGAGCGGCCGAUGUCAGAUUAGGUAGUUGGUGGGGUAAAGGCUCACCAAGCCAACGAUCUGUAGCUGGUCUGAGAGGACGACCAGCCACACUGGGACUGAGACACGGCCCAGACUCCUACGGGAGGCAGCAGUGGGGAAUUUUGGACAAUGGGCGCAAGCCUGAUCCAGCAAUGCCGCGUGCAGGAAGAAGGCCUUCGGGUUGUAAACUGCUUUUGUACGGAACGAAAAGGCUCUGGUUAAUACCUGGGGCACAUGACGGUACCGUAAGAAUAAGCACCGGCUAACUACGUG